rnacentral:tRNA from 1 species
GGGCCGUUAGCUCAAUCAGGUAGAGCACCUGACUCUUAAUCAGUAGGUUGUUGGUUCGAUUCCAACACGGCCCA